CAAGACCUGCUUAGUAGAAGGGACAACAAGAAAAGAUAGAGCCUUUAUUCAUGGCUGGACUGCAUUUCAGAUAAUUUCCAUGUGGGCCAGGUUGGAUCCUCCCUGCAGGGGUUGACAGUAUGAGUGCCAUGGACAGGGACAGCAUCAGGGACAUCUGGGGAGCCUUUUCUCUCACCUCCAUUUCAGUCUGCACCCAAAGGUGCUUGUAAGGUUGUUCCUGGAUACUGCUGAAGCAUCUCCACUGCCUGCAGUAUCUUGAAGCACCACUUGCUCUCUAGCUCAGAAGCUGAAGCUAAUCAACAGUGUAGGAACAAAAGAAGACUUAACCUUAAAUGGAUUCAAGGUGUAUCAGCAUAAAUCCAUCAGAAAGGAAAUCUCAAAUCCAUGAAACCAUUGCAGAAGCUGGCCUCCAGCUUUGGGCUAAUUUCCUUUCUUCAGGACAUAAUUUCUUCAGUGUACCUGAAUAUUCAG